AUUGAACGCUGGCGGCAGGCCUAACACAUGCAAGUCGAGCGGAUGAAGGGAGCUUGCUCCUGGAUUCAGCGGCGGACGGGUGAGUAAUGCCUAGGAAUCUGCCUUGUAGUGGGGGAUAACGUCCGGAAACGGGCGCUAAUACCGCAUACGUCCUGAGGGAGAAAGUGGGGGAUCUUCGGACCCCACGCUAUCAGAUGAGCCUAGGUCGGAUUAGCUAGUUGGUGGGGUAAAGGCCUACCAAGGCGACGAUCCGUAACUGGUCUGAGAGGAUGAUCAGUCACACUGGAACUGAGACACGGUCCAGACUCCUACGGGAGGCAGCAGUGGGGAAUAUUGGACAAUGGGCGAAAGCCUGAUCCAGCCAUGCCGCGUGUGUGAAGAAGGUCUUCGGAUUGUAAAGCACUUUAAGUUGGGAGGAAGGGCAGUAAGUUAAUACCUUGCUGUUUUGACGUUACCAACAGAAUAAGCACCGGCUAACUUCGUG
rnacentral:rRNA from 1 species